GGUGCACCUGAUCCUCUGAGCUGGAAGUCUGAAGUGAUGAUCACAAACAUGAUUGUGUUGCUGUGUUUGUCUGCUCUGUUUCCCGUGUUGAUGGGCAUUGAAGAGGUCAAAUCAGAUUGUUUUCUUACCAUUGACUGCUCUGAUGUGUAUUCGAGUGGGAAAAAUGUGAGUGGUGUGUACACCAUCACCACAAUAGAUGGACCGCUGCAGGUCUACUGUGAGAUGAUCUCCAGCGGAAUAAAUGACAGAGGACUCUGGACGGUGAUUCUCAGGCGUAUGAAUGGCGAGGUGAAUUUCUUUAGGCCGCGGAAGAGUUAUAAAUGGG